rnacentral:piRNA from 1 species
UGACAACAUUCCCUUCACCCACAAGUGGGCU